CAGUAGCCGCGGUAAUGCAGAGGAUGCAAGCGUUAUCUGGAAUGAUUGGGCAUAAAGUGUCUGUAGGUGGCUUUUCAAGUCCGCCGUCAAAUCCCAGGGCUCAACCGUGGACAGGCGGUGGAAACUACCAAGCUGGAGUAUGGUAGGGGCAGAGGGAAUUUCCGGUGGAGCGGUGAAAUGCGUUGAGAUCGGAAAGAACACCAACAACGAAAGCACUCUGCUAGGCCGACACUGACACUGAGAGACGAAAUCUAGGGGAGCAAAUGGGAUUAGAUACCCCCGUAGUCCCUGUCUCUUAUAC
rnacentral:rRNA from 1 species